rnacentral:rRNA from 1 species
GAUGAACGCUGGCGGCGUGCCUAAUACAUGCAAGUCGAGCGAACGGACGAGAAGCUUGCUUCUCUGAUGUUAGCGGCGGACGGGUGAGUAACACGUGGAUAACCUACCUAUAAGACUGGGAUAACUUCGGGAAACCGUAGCUAAUACCGGAUAAUAUUUUGAACCGCAUGGUUCAAAAGUGAAAGACGGUCUUGCUGUCACUUAUAGAUGGAUCCGCGCUGCAUUAGCUAGUUGGUAAGGUAACGGCUUACCAAGGCAACGAUGCAUAGCCGACCUGAGAGGGUGAUCGGCCACACUGGAACUGAGACACGGUCCAGACUCCUACGGGAGGCAGCAGUAGGGAAUCUUCCGCAAUGGGCGAAAGCCUGACGGAGCAACGCCGCGUGAGUGAUGAAGGUCUUCGGAUCGUAAAACUCUGUUAUUAGGGAAGAACAUACGUGUAAGUAACUGUGCACAUCUUGACGGUACCUAAUCAGAAAGCCACGGCUAACUACGUG